rnacentral:rRNA from 1 species
CCUACGGGAGGCAGCAGUGAGGAAUAUUGGUCAAUGGACGAGAGUCUGAACCAGCCAAGUAGCGUGAAGGAUGACUGCCCUAUGGGUUGUAAACUUCUUUUAUAAAGGAAUAAAACGAGGCACGUGUGCCUUUUUGCAUGUACUUUACGAUUAAGGAUCGGCUAACUCCGUGCCAGCCGCCGCGGUAAUACGUAGGAUCCGAGCGUUAUUCGGAUUUAUUGGGUUUAAAGGGAGCGUAGAUGGGUUGUUAAGUCAGUUGUGAAAGUUCAGGGCUCAACCGUAAAAUUGCAAUUGAUACUGGGUGUCUUGAGUACAGUUGAGGUAAGUGGAAUUCGGGGUGUAGCGGUGAAAUGCUUAGAUAUCACGAGGAACCCCGGUUGCGAAGGCAGCUUACUAAACUGUGACUGACAUUGAUGCGCGAAAGUGUGGGUAUCAAACAGGAUUAGAUACCCCUGUAGUC